rnacentral:lncRNA from 10 species
GGAUUUUAAAAACAAUACACCAUUUUACUCCAGAGAUUACGAGUUACGUUUUAAUGGCAAAGGAAGCACUUUAUGUGACUAUUUGAACAGUACCACCUGUUGAAACUUGUAAUGUUAUUGCCUGAGACUCUUCAGAAUUCAAGAUUUAAACUUUCCUCUAGUCGUGUGAGAGCUGAUGUGAGCACUGCCAAAGAUACACCAAUGAGAUCCUCUGUCCUCAAAACUCAGAUAUUUCGAGCCCUGCUUCGGGGAGGAACAGCUCUGGACACUGGCAGCUUCCCGACACCAGCAGCUGAGGCACGUUAUGUCAACAAGAUGGAACCUGCCUGAUCUCACUUUGCCAGAGACAAGGGCCUCUCUAUGUUGACCAAACUGGUCUUGAGCUCCUGGCCUGAAGCGAUCCUCCUGCAAUGGCCUCCCAAAGUACUGGGACUGCAAGCGUGAGCCACCAUGCCUGACUGACUGUUCAUUUUGUUGCAUGCUUGGAAUAUGGUUCUUGCUGUAAAAAAAAAAAUACAUAUAUAUAUAAUUAUAUAUUUAAUAUAUAAAUAUAUAUUAUAUGUAUUUAUAAUAUAUAUAAAUUGUGGGUUUUUUAAGAAAAGUUUUUGACUUUGUCUCUAUCUUAAUUGUUUUUGUUGCUCUUGUUGCUAUGUUUGUUAUCUUGGCACUUUCCAGAACCAUUUCUGAAACUUAGACCUGAAGAGCUGAAAAUUUUGGUAACAAAAUUUUAAUAAAAGAAAUUUAAAUUG